GUGCCAGCAGCCGCGGUAAUACGUAGGUGGCGAGCGUUAUCCGGAAUUACUGGGCGUAAAGCGCACGCAGGCGGCUCUUUAAGUCUGACGUGAAAGCUCCUGGCUUAACUGGGAGAGGACGUUGGAAACUGAAGGGCUUGAGGCGAUGAGAGGGGUGCGGAAUUCCCGGUGUAGUGGUGGAAUGCGUAGAUAUCGGGAGGAACACCAGUGGCGAAAGCGGCACCCUGGCGUUGCCUGACGCUCAGGUGCGAAAGCGUGGGGAGCGAACGGGAUGAGAUACCCCGGUAGUCCACGCCGUAAACGAUGAACACUAGGUGUGGGUGGAGUUAAAUCUGUCCGUGCCGAAGCCAACGCGCUAAGUGUUCCGCCUGGGGAGUACGGCCGCAAGGCUAAAACUUAAAUGAAUUGACGGGG
rnacentral:rRNA from 1 species